CUUAAAGCCCUUAGAGUUUGAUCCUGGCUCAGGAUGAACGCUAGCUACAGGCUUAACACAUGCAAGUCGAGGGGAAACGAUAGAGAAAGCUUGCUUUUUCUAGGCGUCGACCGGCGCACGGGUGAGUAACGCGUAUCCAACCUGCCCAUCACUUGGGGAUAACCUUGCGAAAGUAAGACUAAUACCCAAUGAUAUCUCUAGAAGACAUCUGAAGGAGAUUAAAGAUUUAUCGGUGAUGGAUGGGGAUGCGUCUGAUUAGCUUGUUGGCGGGGUAACGGCCCACCAAGGCGACGAUCAGUAGGGGUUCUGAGAGGAAGGUCCCCCACAUUGGAACUGAGACACGGUCCAAACUCCUACGGGAGGCAGCAGUGAGGAAUAUUGGUCAAUGGACGAGAGUCUGAACCAGCCAAGUAGCGUGCAGGAUGACGGCCCUAUGGGUUGUAAACUGCUUUUAUAAGGGAAUAAAGUGAGUCUCGUGAGACUUUUUGCAUGUACCUUAUGAAUAAGGACCGGCUAAUUCCGUGCCAGCAGCCGCGGUAAUACGGAAGGUCCGGGCGUUAUCCGGAUUUAUUGGGUUUAAAGGGAGCGUAGGCCGGAGAUUAAGCGUGUUGUGAAAUGUAGACGCUCAACGUCUGCACUGCAGCGCGAACUGGUUUCCUUGAGUACGCACAAAGUGGGCGGAAUUCGUGGUGUAGCGGUGAAAUGCUUAGAUAUCACGAAGAACUCCGAUUGCGAAGGCAGCUCACUGGAGCGCAACUGACGCUGAAGCUCGAAAGUGCGGGUAUCGAACAGGAUUAGAUACCCUGGUAGUCCGCACGGUAAACGAUGGAUGCCCGCUGUUGGUCUGAAUAGGUCAGCGGCCAAGCGAAAGCAUUAAGCAUCCCACCUGGGGAGUACGCCGGCAACGGUGAAAC
rnacentral:rRNA from 1 species